AGUUUAUAGCUAGAACUAGACGCCAUUUUGUUUAAAAUUACGGAACUCGAGUUGUAGAUGCCCGUUGGACAGUUAAAGAUUUACUAUGAUUUGUGAAAACAUUAGUGUUUGAGUGUUCUUACCGUUAGCAAUUUAAUUAAUUGUAAAAGAAGUUAUUAUAUAGAAAAUCACAAAUGGACAAUCAAAGAGAAAAGGAUCGAGAUCGCUCAAGACGGGGUGAUAGACCGUCAAGAUUUUCGGACGCUCCGAGAGACCGAUCCAACGAUCGAGACAGGUCAGAAGGAAAACGUUUGUUUGUAUCCAAUAUUCCAUACGAGUUUCGCUGGACGGAAUUGAAGGAUUUGUUCAAAGAAAAGGUUGGAGAUGUGGCGUAUGUCGAGCUAUUUAAUGACGAGAAUGGAAAGCCAAGGGGAUGUGGUGUAGUUGAGUUUAUUAAUUCUGAAGCUAUGAAGAAGGCUCUGUUUGUAAUGCACAGAUAUGAACUUAAUGGCAGAAAACUUGUAUUGAAGGAGGAAACUGGUAGUGAAAGGAACAGAUUAAAUACUUCAAGAUCAGGUGGUGGUGGCGGUGGUGGUGGAGGUGGUGGUGGCGGCGGCGGUGGAGGUGGCGGAGGAGGAGGAGGAAGGAAUAUGAGAGAAGAUAAAGAUGGUUGGGGCCAAAACAAACCUAGGGAACCUGAAAAUUACAACACAUAUGGUCUCAGCUUGCAGUUUUUGGAAUCCAUAAAUGUGCAACCUCCACUAGUAAAGAAAGUAUUUGUUGCAAAUCUGGACUACAAAGCAGACCGAGCAAAAAUAAAGGAGGUGUUUAAAAUGGCGGGAAAAGUACGCAAUAUAGAUUUGGCUGUGGAUAAGGAUGGCAACAGUCGGGGAUUUGCAGUUAUUGAAUAUGAUCAUCCCGUUGAAGCUGUACAGGCUAUUUCAAUGUUCGACAAACAAAUGCUAUACGAUCGCAGGAUGACUGUUCGUAUGGAUAGGGGUGUGUCGGACAAGUCUGAUCUCAGACUACCUGAUGGACUAAAGAGUAUCGGUGUGGGGCUCGGACCGAAUGGAGAGCCACUAAGGGACGUUGCCAGAAAUUUACCACAAAAUUCAGCGCCAAAUAACUUGAAUAUGGCAAAUCCUGGCUCAACUAUGGGCGGUGGAGUUUUAGGAGCCGUACCUACCACUAAUGUCGCACUAAAUGGUCUAGGAACCGGUCUAUCUGCCAAUCAAUUGGGUACAAAUGCGACACUAGGUGGAAGCCUAGGAUUGCAGGCCCUAGGUCUCACCGGGCUGGGAGCCCUGCAGAACCAGCUCCUCCAGCAGGGCCUGACGGCCAGCGACCUGGCGACGGUGCUGAGCCAGGCGCAGGCCGGCAACUCGGGCGGCAUGGCGCUGGGCGGCGCCGAGCUGGGCGGCGCGCACCCCGCGGCGCUGGCGGCCGGCGCGCACCCCGCGGCGCGCGCGCCCGCCUUCGCCCGCGACGGCGCCGCGCGCGACAAGCCGUCCGACAUGGUCAUCAUCACCAACCUGCCGCCCACCGUCACGUGGCAGCUCAUCCGCGAGAAGUUCAGCGAGUGCGGCGACGUCAAGUUCGCCGAGAUGACGGCGCCCGACACCGCCAUCGUGCGCUUCCACAAGGACUGGGACGCCGAGCGCGCCGUCAAAAUGUUCGACAGGACCCGCAUCGACGGUCGGACUAUUGACGUUCGGUUCUUCUGAGACCCGCCUCCCGAUCGGAUGAACGGAUAUUCUAAAAAACGGUUUCUAAUGUUUUAAAACCGUAAAGUUGAAAUGAAUGGGAUGUUGGCACAGAGAGAAUGAAAGUUCUUAAACUUCUGCCGACUUACUAUACCAGCCCGGAUUUUUCAUGACGAGUUUCGACGAGACAUUGUAAAUUACAACGUACGCUUUUCUUCGAUGCGAAAUUGUCAUUAUGAUUGCAAAUUGGAGCACUAAGUGACAAUUAUACGAUUAUAAUAAAACAUAACCUCGCCUAACCAUGGUGCUUACAAAAUAUUAAAAGAAGAGGCAGAAGAAGCGAUUACUCCAAUCCAUUAAAUUAAUAAACGUUCAAAAUCCUCUGUAUCUUUAUAGUAGAGGUCGAACGCGCAGGAGCUGAGGCAGCCACACUCGCGAGCCGAGCGCGCCAGCUCUUCGUCGUUGUGGAACU